rnacentral:rRNA from 1 species
UACGGAGGAUCCAAGCGUUAUCCGGAUUCAUUGGGUUUAAAGGGUGCGUAGGCGGAAUGAUAAGUCAGUGGUGAAAUCUCGGAGCUCAACUCCGAAACUGCCAUUGAUACUGUCAAUCUUGAGUACAUUUGAUGUGGGCGGAAUGUGUCAUGUAGCGGUGAAAUGCUUAGAUAUGACACAGAACACCGAUUGCGAAGGCAGCUCACAAAACUGUAACUGACGCUGAGGCACGAAAGCGUGGGUAUCAAACAGG